GACAGAGGUGCCGAGCGUUAGGCGGAAUCACUGGGCUUAAAGCGUGUGUAGGCGGACCGUUAAGUACCUUGUGAAAUCCCCCGGCUCAACCGGGGAACGGCUGGGUAUACUGGCGGUCUUGAGCCAUCCAGGGGCAGUCGGAACAGACGGUGGAGCGGUGAAAUGCGUAGAUAUCGUCUGGAACGCCGAAGGUGAAAAUAGACUGCUGGGGAUGAGCUGACGCUGAGACACGAAAGCCAGGGGAGCGAACGGG
rnacentral:rRNA from 1 species